rnacentral:lncRNA from 1 species
GAUGGUGGUGAUGGUGAUGGUGGUGAUGGUGAUGAUGGUGAUGAUGAUGGUGAUGGUGGUGAUGGUGAUGAUGGUGAUGAUGAUGGUGGUGAUGGUGAGGAUGGUGAUGAUGGUGAUGGUGGUGAUGGUAGUGAUGGUGGUGAUGGUGAUGAUGGUGGUGAUGGUGAUGAUGGUGGUGGUGGUGAUGGUGAUGGUGGUGGUGGUGAUGGUGGUGGUGGUGAUGGUGGUGGUGGUGGUGUGAAGUGCACUUUGCAGUGUUACUCUGUCAGUUCAUAAGUACAUGUGGUGUCCAUUCUGAGACCCAGGGAGUGGUGAAUUCUGCACUUGUCACUUGCUGGCAUCCUAGGGUACCACCGGCUAGGUGACUAACAGGAAGGCUGUGGCACAUUCAGGGUGUUGGCAGUGCACACUCCCUCAGCAUCUCGUCUGGUCCCCAUGGGCCUAGCAACCCUGCUGGACUUGUUCAUUGAGCCAGAGCAGCUGAGUGAGUUGUCCAGGCUGCUCCAGUCUGGUGCUGUCUCCUGGGAAACUGGCUCUUUCCAGAGCAGAGUCAUUCUAUCAGCCCGGGAAGUCCCUGAAUUAAAGAUGUGGAAAUUUGGGAACUGUGGAGGUGGAAAUGAGCAAACCAAAGCAGAAAGAGGCAAACAAGGAAAACCUUGGCGGAAUGGGAGCUAAGCUAUCCUGUGUCGAGAGAGAGAGAGAGCGCGGGAGAGGGAGAGAGAGAGAGAGGGAGAGAGAGACAGAGAUUUGGGGAUGGACUGAGACACUGAGACAUGGACGUGGCACGAUGACAAUGGAGAUGGCGGCCCCUUUGUGCCCCCUAAGAGGAUCUGAAUGUGGAUAAGCGUGUUGGCCAUGGGGCCGGAAGUGUUGCCUUUAACCUGCUGUCUUUCUCCUUAUUAAUUAUAUAAUUUUGGACAAAUAGCAUCCACCCCUCUGUGCCGAGUUUUCUGGUGUGCACAGGAUGAGAACAACCGUGUCUGUGCGUUGAUUGUCCUAUGGUACCUUUGUGCAGGGGGAUUGUGGGUACUUCAUCCCCGCCCCAAGGCAGAUAACUUUGUGAAGAGAAAAGGUUUCCUUAGUUUACAGUUUGAGAAGUUCAAAACCCAGGUGUCAGCACCGUGGGUGUGGCAUCUGGAGAGAAUGGCAAGUGAUGGCACGUCACAACCGGAACUCGUGUAGUAGCAAGCAGGCCUUUCUGGAGAGAAAUGGCAUGUGUUAGACCAGGUUUGCUUUCUAAUAACAGCCUUCUUCUGAGGGGUCCCAGGAUAAUAACCACAGUCACAUGAGAACUCCACACACGGCCCUCCCCACCAACGACCUAAGAAGCUCCUAAAAUGUCUCACCUCUAGGAGACCCCACUGCCCCCAAACAAGGCCAUUCUGGAGAUAGCCCUUGAGGGAUUAGCGUAAGUGGCUGGAGCCUGCAUCUCUUCAGGAGUUUAAGGAGUUAAGAGUUGCAGUCUUGGCUCUGCCUUUUGCUUUUGGAUUCGCUUUGAGUUUUGGAAUACUUAUCUCCUCCAAACCUCAUCUGUUUCACCUGCAAAAUGCAAAAGUAUCAGUCUGUAGGGAGGGUGUGAGGGUCACGUGAUCAGUGUUUAACACCGACUCUUGGGACAGGACUUGAUUUGCAGCAUCUGCUCGCUCAUUCCCACGGUGCAAAUGCUCCCACUGCAGCUGACUUCAGGGUAGCAUUGCAGUGUCUCUGAAGGUGGAGUCAGAAGAAACGGGCAUCGUUAUCUUCCAUCCCCACAGCACGGAAUCAAGACAUUACCUGAGCCUAGAUAACAGUUAAGGGCAGUGAAGUAAUUAGGAACUGAAGGGCUCUUAUUGCAUUUGUUUUUUAAUGUAAUUUGUUUAAUUGUGAGCUUACAUAAUAUAGUUUUUAAUAACUGCUGUUCAUAACCGGCUUGCAAAGUUCUUGAAAAUUUAAUAAUCAGCUCUGGCAAGCUGGUCCAAGCUGGCUUCACAUACUGUUGAAUGUGCUAAAGCUCCAGCGAGGCCUAGAGAGGACACGGCAAGUACGCAGUGCUCCAUCAUCGGGAGCCUAUGCAGUUGUUGUUAUGUGUUUUAUUAUGCAAUCUCUGAUGACAGUAGGGGGAAAAAACAGGCCGUGGAAAAAAAAUCUGUAGUAGUUGCCUUUUCCACUCCUGCAUCAAAAGACUCAACAGAGCAAGUUUGGGCAGAGAGAUUUCUUUGGGCUGACAGUUUCAGAUGUUAGUGUUAGUGCCUGAUGGAGGUGUUGUUAGUACUCAAUGGUGUGUGGUCCUGAUGGAGAUGUUAGUACUCAGUGGUGUUGUGAUCCUGAUGGAGGUGUUAGUACUCAGUGGUGUUGUGAUCCUGAUGGAGGUGUUAGUACUCAGUGGUGUGUGGUCCUGAUGGAGGUGUUAGUACUCAAUGGUGUGUGGUCCUGAUGGAGGUGUUAGUACUCAGUGGUGUUGUGGUCCUGAUGGAGGUGUUAGUACUCAAUGGUGUGUGGUCCUGAUGGAGGUGUUAGUACUCAGUGGUGUGUGGCCCUGAUGGAGAUGGGCCGGUGGCAGAGGCUCCUCCUAUCUUGGGGAUAAGGAGCUAGCAUUGGGACUGGAAGCAGGGAUAGCUGCAGCCUUCAAUACCCAUCUCUAGUGAGGAGUCUACUUCUCAAGGCCAGGACACAUCAUCUCAAGGUCCUAACACCUCCCCACAAAUAUCACCCUGGCUGGGGACCAGGUCUUCAAAAUAAGAGCUUUUGAAGGACAUUUCCAACUCAAAGCAUAUCAACUUAAAGGCACCUCUUAUGAAGUUAAGAUCAUUCUGUUGAGUUAAGGAACAUGAGCUGGGGGUGAACAGUGACUGCAACAUGGUUUGUUUGUGAUAUUACUGCCCUGGGUACAAAUUCAGAACUCAGGCCCCAAAAUAAAAAUAAAAGGGGGUUAAAAAGCUUAUAAAACUGAUUUCGCUGGCAGUGAGAUAUAUAUGGAUCUCACUAGGCCAGGAGGUGGUGGCACACACCUUUAAUCCCAGCACUCAGGAAGCAGAGGCAGGUGGAUCUUUGAGUUUGAGGUCAGCUAUAUAGUGAGUUCUAGGACAGGCAGAGUUUACACAGAGAAACCCUGUCUAGAAAACAACAACAACAACCCCCCUAUCCUCCUACCCAGUAGCAAUGCAGAUCAAAGAAAUAGGGUAUCAGGGUAUAAUCAGGAAAUAGGAUCUUAUAUGGAGGACAGUGAUAAUCCAUUUGUUUUUGGUUGUGAGCCUAGCCUUUAACGGCCGAGCCAUCUCUCCAGCCCAGAUAAUCCGUUUGUUAAACCCAGUACACCUACACAGGGACAUCCAAUACGUUAUAAGGAUACCUGCAUGUGAUAUCUAUAUCUCUCAUGGCCCAGGAAGGAAAGGAUGAGCAUAAAAUUGCAUACCUGUAAAAUUAAUUAAAAAAGAAGACUAACUACAAAGCUGUGAGCAGGGCUAGGCAGAGCCCUUGAUGGUGGGAGGAAGUAGCCUAGACCUACAACAGUCAUGUGACCUACCUGGCUGGAAGAGAAGGGGCAACGGGAUUCAAAGGAAGCCAUCUAGAGAGGAUAAGGGAACCACAGCUGCCCUUCAGAGGGCUUAUGGCCCACCAAUGAGGGAUACAGGAGGUGGCAUUCUUGCUUCUCUUUCUACCACCCCCGAAUCUCCGGAUGAUGCUAAACCCAAUAAGAAGGCAGAGGGCCGUCUUGCUCUUUGAUGUACACACGCCCUACCGGUAAGCUCCCUGGGACCCAGAACUGGGUAAAGACAGACAGAGGGAUUGGAGGAUUAACAAGAACAUCCAAGGAAGUACUCCAUGGUAUAAAUCAGACAGGCUGUGAGGGCUGUGACUCCAGGAGAAGAAAGGGAUUGAGCUUUUGAGGUGUAAAGGAACAUACUGAAGCAUGGUCUUUGUAUUAAUGUCUGAUAAUUGUGACUUGAAGGUAGGCAUGAUUUGAGUGUAAUGAACUCAACUGGGAAAGCAUCAACCAUGCUGAAGAAACUUCUGGAAAAUGACCUUGCACCCCUGUGCCAUUUGUGUUACACCCCAGGCCUUCACAGAUGAACUCAGCUGGAGAGAGAACUGACUCUUGGUUGGAGGCUUGGCUGCCCAUGGCCUGGGAUGAGAAACACAAAGCGGAAAUGUGGAGGAAGGGGAGACACCAGCCUGGGUCUCCAUCGUGUUCCUGAAAGUCCGUCUUCUUCAAAGAAGAAAAAAGGAAAACAUGUAUGCAAACGUUUGUGUUGCUUGAAGACAGCGGAAAGGCAAGUCAACGUAGCUUUUCCAUACAGUCUGACACGGUGGCGUUUGAUGUUUCCAUACGACGUUGCCAUCUUCACACGUGCUGGGCCACAUCCAGACGUCUGGGACGCAUGGAGCCUGCAGCUUGGCCAUGCCUGGUGGUGGAUGAAUAUUAAAUAAUGAAUUCUCCUAGCCUGGUGGCUCUGCCUAUACUUCCUGCCUGGCUACAUCCUGCCUGUUCAUUGGCCGAAACAGCUUGAUUCAUCAACUAAUAAGAGAAACAUAUUCACAGCAUACAGAAGGGCAUCCCUCAUCAGCUGUCUUCAUACCAGAGAGGCUGAGAACUCAGAUGGCUGCUCAGACAUCACAGCAGUACUGAAAGCCUAGCAGAUUCUGGGAGAGUUACUGAUCUUCAGUCUUCAUUAGAAGCCAGAAAGGCUGGGCUCUGACCUCAGAGAACAAAUACAGCAGCAGCAGCAAUGAUGUAGAUGACCCCAUAAAUAAGAUAAACUUGCCAGUAAGAUGGAAAGUCAAACACACAGAAAGAUAAAAGGUUUUCCUUCUGACCACCUUGCGUCUGGCUGCCAAGGCAAGACGCUGCCCACAGUUAGGGCAGAUCUUUCCAUUUCAGGUAACCUGAUCAUCACCAGUGUGUCCAGCAGCUUGCCUCUUACCCGAUUCCAGAUCUAAUCAAGUCCACAAGCAAAAUUAGCUACCACAAGCACUUACCCGCUUCCUGCCGGUUCCACACCGGACACGAACUUUUAGCAUCUCAUCUUCUCUGACGACAGCGAGGUGGGCGCUUAACUAUCUUCUUUGUUGUACGUGACUGAGUGCUGAUAACUUAAACUUCUCAUCUGCUCUUCCACGAGCUAGUUGAGAAUGAAAACUACGGUUCUGUGCUGUGGAACAAUCCCUCUUGUACACUGUUAAGAUUGACUGGCCAGUAGCCAGGCAGGAUGUAUAGGCGGGGUGGCAAACCUAAGGACAUUGGGAAAGAGAAGGAUGGAGUCAGGAGUCUCCAGCCAGACGCAGAGGGAGCAGGAGAUGAACGUGCCAUGCUAACAAAGGCACUGCCACGUGGCAGAGCAUGAGUAGAACUAUGGGUUAAUUGAAGUGUGAGAGUUAUCUAGUAACAAGCCUGAGCUAUUGGCUGGGUACCUACAAUUCAUAUUCAGCCUCUGAGUCAGUUAUUUGGGGCCAGGCCGUUAGGACAGGAAACAUCCACUUACAGUUCUGACUUCCAAAUCUCAAGUGUCUCAAGACCCCAUACUGUUUACACCGUCUUCUGGAAAACCUAUUAUAUAGUAAUUCACCACCGUACUUUCUUUCCCAGGAGGAACGCUUGCUUAUGUUUGAGGAUGGUGAGAUGGACAAGGUGUGUGGUUUGCAGCUUGCCCUGCAGACAGAGGCAAGGAAUUGAGUCUCAGCCCAGAGUCUGGCUCACGGCAUAAGACCUAAAGCUUGCCCUUUACCUCACUGCACCAUGCCCUGUCAUGUGACCUGGGGAUGUAUUCACCUGGUCACAUGAGCUUUCCAAAGCAACGGCUCUGUUAGCAGCAUAGGGCAUCUUCUUUGCCUCUAAGCUGUAUCAAGUUGUCACCCUCUGGUCCAGGAUUUCCUGAAGGAUUAAGUGGGUCUGGUUACUGAGAAGUACCAGGUUCCUCAGGAGAGAAAUCACCUCUGCCCAAGGUGCCCAUGCAAGACAGAGCUCCUGUUCCUGGUGCCACUCUGACACAGACCAUGCAGAACCCACUUAUAGUUGUCCAUCCAUUUAUAGAUGCCCAGGCAGCAGCUGUGAGGCUCACACACACUUCAGGAACACGGAGGCAGGAGGAACAAUGCUCACCAAAAUGUGUGCCGGGGGGUCCUGGGCCAACCCCUAAAGGCCUCGGCUCUCAGUGUCUUGAAUAUAAUGUACUGGGGAGAACAAGACCUAGG